UAAACCUCAGUGCAACCCAGAGACUCGGCUCUCGCGCUGCAAGCGUCCUUCUCUCCUGCGGAGAUCCUUCACAGGCAAAUCCACAACCCAACAGGAUGUGUAGUAAGGAGACGACUUGUAUGGAAUGGGACUAACGCUGGACAGUGCCAUGAGAUCCAGAUCUGGGGGUCCGAGUUGCCUUGGAGGGAAGGGGGCACUCUCAAGUUGGUGAGACCCAAGUUGGUGAGACCCAAAUCUUCUUCAGUUUUCUACUUCUAGGACAGGGUGGACUUUUUUUUGGAACUUCUGCUUGAAGAUGAGUUGCUGGAAUUGAAGGCGAUUUUUCUGGGAAAUAUGGAACUUGAGUUACAAAGACGUAGUCCUAUGGUGACACACUGAAGGCAGGACAAGAAUGAAUGGGACAUCCGUGUCGAAGAACGCUGGGUCACUCCGGACAAACAUGGCCAUCUCGCUAAGGGCAAGAUGUUAUGUGCUGCACUUCAGCUCUUGAUGCUGGGCAGGGUGAACCAGAGGAAGGUAAAUUUGGAUUUUUUGACCAAAAUGGUCAUCCCUGGGGGAGGAGAAGAUGACAGAGGAAGCCAAGAAAAAGAAAGUAAAGAGGAGACAAUCCUGGCCAUGCUGGGGAUCAUCGGAACCAUACUCAACCUGCUGGUCAUCAUAUUCGUCUACAUAUAUACCACGUUAUAACUGGCGAUUGGCAUGCAGACUCACAUUCCAGACAACCCACGAAAACUUUGGGCCAGACUGGAAGUUAUAAGAAACUCAAACCACAAGCACAAACUUUAACCGCGUUCUCCUCGGCGGCAAAACAGACAAUUUUUCACUUUUCUCGGACCAAGAGACCACAAGGACCAUGAAACCUCUCAUCAUGUGCCAUAGAAGCGGAGUGUCUUCCCGUCGGCCCAUUCGCCAUGUAAAUGUUAUGCUUUCGUUUUUUCUGUCUGGUUCUUGUGGUCACAUGGCGGGCGCGGCGCCGCCUACAGACAAUUCGCUGCCUCAGUUUUUGCAAAUGAAAGGUUUUCUUUUUUUUCUCUUUCUUUUUUCUUGCUUUACUUCGAUUUUAACUUGUUGACAUGAAUGUUCAUACCUGUACUUUGGAAGUAAGUGCAAUACUUUUUGCAUGUGGCAAAUACACAUGGGAUUUCUUAUUGAAUAAAGGAAAUUUUCUUUA